AUAGUACCGUGCCAUUACCAAGGCAACAGUGUUUGGAGUUGUCACGGUAAUGGGGGGGAAGGGCAAAAGACAGAGCUACUGAUGUGUAAUUACUAAGAAUGAGUGCUUCAGAUAGCCUAAUGCAAUUAGGUGCGGUAAAAAGGAAUGGGAGGUGCUGUUUGUGCUGGUGGAGGGGUCGGCUUCUUAAUUGGCUCAGUUACAUUACUCCAAUAUUUCCCUUAUGAAUAGAAUCAGAAUUCUAUACCAGAAGCCAUAGAAGAAAAAUGGCAACAAAUCGGAGCUAAAUAUUAUUCUCCAGACUACUUAGUACACAAAAAAUGUUGAAAAUAAUUCCAUGUCUACCUUUAAGUCAACUUUGUGAAAAGAACAACUUGUUUAACUUGUGUUCUGGUAAACGUUGGAAUCAAAUCAGCUAAUGCGUUGCUUAACAUCAAACAGUAUAAUGUGAUUACUGUACAAGGACAUAGGGGUGCAGCAUCCACAAUUUUUUCAAGAUUUCUCGAACUGCAAAUGCAGCUGCAACUGCUAAAAUAAUAAGCAUAUAGAUAAACAAAUAAAGAAAUAGUCAAAAUAUACUAUAAAACACAUCAUGCUUUUUAACAGUUUAUAGUUACAGUUAAGCAGAAAGUAUGCUUCACCUUUUAAGAGUACGCUAGGAACAGCGUACAGUACGCAUGAUGCAAAUUUCGUCAUCAGCAGAGUAAGCACAUACUGUACGCAUGCCGUCCAAUUUUUCUAACCGUGCAUACUUUUUACAGGCAGGUCGCACAUGAGCAUUUAAUUCUUUUGCACUAUUUCGCUGUUCCACAAAGUGGCAACAGUGACACAGGACCGUUGAUUCUCAAGGCCAGGAAGGGUAGUCCAAGCUGUCGUAAUGUGCAUGCAUCGACCGCCGUGUAUGCAUACAUGUCCAAUGGAAUAUACUUUGAAAGGCUAUGCGUACGACUGUGUGCAUACGCUAGUGUAUGUGUAAAAAAAACGAAGUAUACCAGAGGCUUUAAUGUUACAGAACAUCCGUGAGACUUGAGUCUUCAAAGGACUUCAGAGAUUUGAGAACAGAGGAGUUUGCACUUUCUGGUUUCUCUGUAACAUGACAAGCUGUGUUUUUUUUUGGUCUCAUUAACAUCAAGAGAGAGAGAAAAAAUAGAGGCUGGUGAGGGAACUACUAUCCCAUGUUGGGAUACUGAGUUCAACUGUUACUCAGGGCUGAUGUUGGACUCAUCAUCCCUGCCUGCCCCUCAAUCAAUCACAACCUCACAGUUGUGAGGUGUGCUCAAGCACACUCAAACCACCCAGGACAGCCAGAAACCUUGGGGUGACUUUCAAUGACCACUUCACCUUUACAGGCCACAUUUCAACAACUGCACAGUCCUAUAGGUUCAUUUUGUACAAUGUCAGGAACAUCAGACCCCAAAACUAGACUACUGCAAUGCACUACUCUUGGGCCUCUCAGCCAGCUCCAUCAAAUCCCUUCAGAUGAUUCAGAAUGGAGCAGCAUGACUUGUUUUCAACCAGCCCAAAAGAACCCAUGUCUUCAACUCCCUCCACUGGCUUCCUGUAGCUGCCCGCAUCAAAUUCAAGGCGUUGAUGCUCACAGACCUCAGUGGUGGAAUGAACAUCCAACCUCAAUCCCGACAGCAGAGUCUGGUCACAGGGAACCUGGAGCCAAUCCCAGGGAGCAUCGGGCACAAGGCGGGGUACACCCUGGACAGGGUGCCAAUCCAACGCAGGGCACAAUCACAUACACACUCACACACCCAUUCAUACACUACGGACACUUUAGCCACGCCCAUCAGCCUACCAUGCAUAUCUUUGGCUAAAUGAAUAUGUGUAAUCUAAUACAUGUAAUGUAUUAGAAUGAGUACAUUACUAUAAACCUAUCAUUUAUGUUACAGUUUAUAUCCAUGCUACUGUUAAAAAAAAAAAAACUGCACUUAUCAUUUAUGUUACAGUUUAUAUCCAUGCUACUGUUAAAAAAAAAUAACUGCACUUUGGUAUAAUUAUUAUAAUUGACACAAUUUCUGUUUAAAGAAAAAUUAUUUGGGUGUGAUGACAUAUUAUAGCUCAUGCCACAUCUAUGCUGCUUGAAAUUCCAUUAAUGUGUCCUUGUUACUGUGCAUACAAAAUGCAUUGUAUUUGAUGUAUAAAGUAUGCUUGUGUACUUAAGAAAAAAAAAGCAAACACAACAAGACCUCAGUUUGUGAACUUGUGAGCAACAGCCAGAAUAAUUGGCUCCAACCCCACCCACUAGCCAUAACAAAUCCUGCUGCUCAUUAGCCAUAUUUAAUGAAAGCAAUAGAGUAGCAGGUGUUUCCUCAACAGCCACUGUAUAUCUUUUCACUACAGCCUGCAUCCAUAGAGAGAUUGUGCAAGAUAGAUCCGAAUGUGACAGACGAAAAUCACUCAUGGCACUCAUGGCAGAUUAAACUAUACAGUACUUGCUUCAACCCAUUCAGUCAGCAUCAAGAUACA